GCGGGGACGUUGCAGGGCGCUGCUGCCUCCCUCCCUCCCUCCCUCCGCGGGGAGCCCGGGCCGAGCAGCGGCCGCGCCACGGGGCUGGGCCACGGGGUGACCUUCGGGGCCGCGGCUUCUGCGCCCGGCCGAGGGGGCUUCCCCGCGGGGCCGGGCCGGGCCGGGCCGGGCCGGAGACCAGGCAGGGUUUCCAGUUU